rnacentral:rRNA from 1 species
CUACGGGUGGCUCCAGUAGGGAAUAUUGCUUAAUGGGCGAAAGCCUGAAGCAGCAACGCCGCGUGUACGAUGAAGGCCUUCGGGUUGUAAAGUACUUUUUGCAGGGAUGAGGAAGGACAGUACCUGCAGAAUAAGCCUCGGCUAACUACGUGCCAGCAGCCGCGGUAAAACGUAGGAGGCGAGCGUUAUCCGGAUUUACUGGGCGUAAAGCGCGUGUAGGCGGAUUGGUAAGUUAGCUGUGAAAGCUCCCGGCUUAACUGGGAGAGGUCGGUUAAUACUGUCAGUCUAGAGUAUGUGAGAGGGAAGUGGAAUUCCGGGUGUAGUGGUGAAAUGCGUAGAUAUCCGGAGGAACACCAGAGGCGAAAGCGGCUUCCUGGCACAUAACUGACGCUCAGACGCGAAAGCUAGGGGAGCGAACGGGAUUAGAUACCCCGGUAGUC